rnacentral:ribozyme from 1 species
GGCCCGGCAUCUCCUAUCCCUACCUCCUCGCGGUACUGGCCGGGGUACGAGCAACCUUAGGGAAGAUCGGGUAACCAACCGGUGGAAACGCUGGUCGUACGCUGACAGAGAAAG